CCCUGCUCCAGAAUGGUCUUAUUAUUUCACCAUCCAUUUCAUAACUCCACUUUAGGUGAAUACUUUCAUGGGAUAUUGAAUAACAUAUCAAAAACAAUUUAAAAUUUUACAGCUGCAUUUUGUCCAAUCAUAAGGCAAAAAGCAGAAAUUCCUUCCAAAAGUAGCACUGCAAAGUAUUCAUUCAUUCAUUGCCCUACUGAAAUUGGGAGUUCCAAGGAAUGCCAGCGAAAUCUCCUGUGGGAAAAUGGUAAACUCCAAGUUUAAUAAUGUGACCCUCACUAAAUGCGUAGCAGUUAAUGAUAAAAGUAGAACUAUCUUUCAUAACAGAAAGUGGGGGAGUGAGGGGAGUAGGGACAGACAGAGAAAGUUCCCUGACUUCAUAUUAUCAUAUAUACGGAUAAUCUGGUUACCAAGAGUAGCCUAGCCUUAAAAGAAGAGAAAAUCACCACAAUGGACACCAUGUUGCUGAGAGGGUUUGCGGAGGAAGGGUGGUUUCCAGAUAUCCUUAGUGAAUGCAGGUCACAUGCAAAGAGGUAUCUCAGGCCCUUUUUUCUUCCUUUUUGACAACAAAUUUACAGUUAAUUAGGCUCUGGACUUGCUCAGAGAAGCCCAGAAUUGGGCCUAAAGAAUAAAAUAACAUGAAAAAUCUGUGAAACCAUGAAAAUACAUUUUUUAAAAAAAGUUUCCAGGUAUAAUACACAAAAGCAAACAAGUUUAUCUUAAAAAAUACCAAGUAUCACAUCCAUAGCCUAUUCCUAAUUAUAAUUACUUCUUAAAGCAACAUUUGUCUUUGUUUACAAAUACAGCAGCAGGUGAUAAAACCUAGUAUCUCAAACUGAUUGCUUACAAUUUAUAAUACAAACAUAUGUAUAUGUCUCAAAUCACAUUUUAGGCAGUUUAACUUAAAAUGCAUAGACAAUUACAUACAUUAAAUUUGUCAUUACUGUCAGUGAAAAAUCACAAUUUCAAGAAGAAAAUUACAACAAACUCAUAGAGCACACAUAAGAAGUCAAGUUCACUUAAUGGCAACAAGUCAGUAUCUGCUGAUCAGUGACAGGCAGUGAAAGUGCCUUUAUCCAGGGGUAAAGUGAAGAGGCAAACUAUCCUGUUACUUUGCACACUUGAAUUGUUGCGCUGAUCAACACUACAAUCUUGAAAAACAUUAAAUUCUUAAAAAAAAAAAAAGGCAUGCCACAUGUCACCCUUUAAGAUGCCCAAAGGCUGGUUACAAUUUCCACCAGUAGUGAUCCUAACACGUUUAGGUAAAACUAAUAAUGAAUGGGUAUGCUAACAAAUUCUGUAAUGUUACUUAUAGACUAUGAGCCUCUCAAGGACAGGGAUUCCCUUAUAGCUGGCAAAGAACCUGGAUCAAGGACAUAUUGUCUACUGAAUAAAUGACUCAGAUGUUUUCGACAGCCAGAAGCUUGCCUGCCAUUUACAAAAUACUGAUUAUUUUAUUGGCAAUUUCUGUUUUACUUGGCAGAAAUCUGAAAAUAAAAAGUGUUUGUCUUCAAUACUAAAUAUUGCUUUAUUAAAAUCAAAGUCUUCCCUGAACGCCACCUACAACUUUCUAUGCAUAGUACAAUAUAUCAGUGUGAUUUAUCUGAAUUUAGGCUUAUGCUUUUCAAAAACUUGAAUGUCUGUGCUUAAGUUUUAUUUCCAGGCUUUCUAACCUUGGCAUUUGAUAAAGCUAGCUUCUAUCAUUCAGGGUGAGAAAAUUGAGACAUUGGCACUUAUUGUUUAGAAGUGUAGGCAAUUGACUGAUAUUCAACCCAGGCACAGUCUUGACAAAAACUCUGAGUAGAGCUUUUUUCAUCUACAGUUUCAAAAGCUGUAUAUUUGAGAGUACCCCAGGUAGCACUAAUUAUUUGUGAGGUAAUCAUGGGCAAAUUGAUUGGUUUUUUAGAAAAUAUCCCAAUAGUCCAUUGUGGUGGUGGGACUGACUGAGGCAAAAUAUAUACUUUUCUCUGCCCUAUUACUAUUCUCUACUGAAGACAACCAACAGUAAAAUGCACAAAACAGUCAGUCCUUGGGUAAUUAAAAAAUGUAUUGUCUAUUUCUGAAUAAUCAAUAUAUUACUUUACACAAAAUAGGGCUGAGUCAGAGCUGUAAAUGGUGUCUUCAAAAGCAUGAAAAGAUGAGAAAGUGGCAGGAUGGGACAGACAAGCCAAGGUCUUUGAAGUGCUCCACUUGAUUCUUGAGAACCGGGUGUGAAUGACGACCUAAGGUCUAUGUUUUAAUUUUUGUCUUUUUGGUUUCAACAUUUCAAAACCUAAGCUUCCAACUCCAAGAAACAGCAUUCCUGAACACCUCAACUAUUUCCAUUAGAUUUGAAAAUUCUUCCUCUGAAGCCCAAAUGUCAGCAUAUUCUAUAAUCUGUAUCCCCCUCAAGACCAAAUAUACUUGCUAACAAGCAGUCUUUUCCAUAAAUCAGUUUCAGCCUAGCAUGUCUUGUUUUGAAAGCAACAUUGUUCCCUUUUAAAAAGAAAAAAAGCCUUUCUUGAUGCUGUUCCCCAUUUCUCCACUAAAACGCCUGCUUUUCUUAACUCCACACCGAACCAACCUGAAAUAUUUUGGCCCAGAAUGCCAACAAGAAUUGAAGAAAAGAUGCUUUACAAAAAUAACAAUAUAAAAGCAAAUUAUAUUAUCCCUUUUAUCUCCAUUCUUACAUUAAAAAAAAAAAAAAAAAUCGGCCGGACGUGGUGGCUCACGCCUGUAAUCCCAGCACUUUGGGAAGCCAAGGCGGGCAGAUCACGAGGUCAGGAGAUC
rnacentral:lncRNA from 1 species